GCCCCAAUAGCUCAGUCGGUUAGAGCAGCGGACUCAUAAUCCGUCGGUCGCCGGUUCAAGCCCGGCUUGGGGCACCA
rnacentral:tRNA from 1 species